rnacentral:rRNA from 1 species
UAGAAACCCCGACUUCGGAAGGGGUGUAUUUAUUAGAUACAAAACCAAUGCCCUUCGGGGCUCUUUGGUGAUUCAUGAUAACUAUACGAAUCGCACGGCCUUGCGCCGGCGAUGGUUCAUUCAAAUUUCUUCCCUAUCAACUUUCGAUGUUUGGGUAUUGGCCAAACAUGGUUGCAACGGGUAACGGAGGGUUAGGGCUCGACCCCGGAGAAGGAGCCUGAGAAACGGCUACUACAUCCAAGGAAGGCAGCAGGCGCGCAAAUUACCCAAUCCCGACUCGGGGAGGUAGUGACAAUAAAUACUGAUACAGGGCCCUUUCGGGCCUUGUAAUUGGAAUGAGUACAAUUUAAAUCCCUUAACGAGGAACAAUUGGAGGGCAAGUCUGGUGCCAGCAGCCGCGGUAAUUCCAGCUCCAAUAGCGUAUAUUAAAGUUGUUGUGGUUAAAAAGCUCGUAGUUGAACCUUGGGCCUGGCUGGCCGGUCCGCCUCACCGCGUGCACUGGUCCGGCCGGGCCUUUCCCUCUGUGGAACCCCAUACCCUUCACUGGGCGUGGCGGGGAAACAGGACAUUUACUUU